CGCCUUGCCAGCCCGCUCAGAAACUUAAAGGAAUUGACGGGGGCCCGCACAAGCGGAGGAACAUGUGGUUAAUUCGAUGAUACGCGAGGAACCUUACCUGGGCUAGAACGCAAUCGGAAUCAGGCCGAAAGGUCUGCGCCAGCGAUGGCCGCUUGCGAGGUGCUGCAUGGUUGUCGUCAGCUCGUGCCGUGAGGUGUCGGGUUAAGUCCCAUAACGAGCGCAACCCCUACUGCUAGUUGCCAGCGGGUCAUGCCGGGGACUCUAGCGGAACUGCCAGCGUAAGCUGCGAGGAAGGUGGGGAUGACGUCAAAUCAGCACGGCCCUUACGUCCAGGGCUACACACGUGUUACAAUGGCCAGUACAGAGGGCAGCCACCCCGCGAGGGGGCGCUAAUCCUAAAAGCUGGUCCCAGUUCGGAUCGGAGUCUGCAACUCGACUGCGUGAAGUCGGAAUCGCUAGUAAUCGUGAAUCAGAAUGUCACGGUGAAUACGUUCCCGGGCCUU
rnacentral:rRNA from 1 species